rnacentral:rRNA from 1 species
AACGAACGCUGGCGGCAUGCCUAACACAUGCAAGUCGAACGAGACCUUCGGGUCUAGUGGCGCACGGGUGCGUAACGCGUGGGAGUCUGCCCUUAGGUACGGAAUAACUCAGAGAAAUUUGUGCUAAUACCGUAUGAUGUCGAAAGACCAAAGAUUUAUCGCCUAAGGAUGAGCCCGCGUAAGAUUAGCUUGUUGGUGAGGUAAAAGCUCACCAAGGCGACGAUCUUUAGCUGGUCUGAGAGGAUGAUCAGCCACACUGGGACUGAGACACGGCCCAGACUCCUACGGGAGGCAGCAGUGGGGAAUAUUGGACAAUGGGCGAAAGCCUGAUCCAGCAAUGCCGCGUGAGUGAUGAAGGCCUUAGGGUUGUAAAGCUCUUUUACCAGGGAUGAUAAUGACAGUACCUGGAGAAUAAGCUCCGGCUAACUCCGUGCCAGCCGCCGCCGUAA